UUUUCUCUGGACAAAUUAACAAUGUAAGUUAUCUUUCCAAGCUGCUGUUUCCUAUAACACCGCAUAGUGCUUCCUCAUUUGAACUCCUUAUCUCUUCCUGUGAAGUCCCGCCAGCACAGAAACAGCGGCGAAGUCGUAUUAAAUUUAUCACCAGACAGUUUACCAGACUAGGAGAAAGAAUGCACCGCAGCUUUGUCUCUCAAAAGCAGCAUGGCAAAUGUCAAGGACUGCGUCAACCAGACCCUGAAGAGCCAGGAUCCUCGUGGCCAGAAAGGGAAGAGAUCCUCACCGUCAUUUGUACCUCCUGCCUCCUUCUCGGUUUCUUGCUGAAGCAUCAGCCAAGACAACAUCUCUCUGGACCUGACUACUCAUCCUGGGCUGCGCUACAGAACAGAAAAGAGAGCUAGAGCAUGAAUGCCUGCCUGGCAAAACAGCAACAAGCCAGAAAACUUACUGACUGCAAAGCCUGGAUUUCGUUCAAGAAGGAUUUGCUCGAUGCCUGGAUUAAGAAACUGCACAGAAUUAUGGCGUAAUUCAGAUAUCUGUGGCAAUCCUACUUGCAGAUGUGAACUUCUCAGUUACUGAUUGACUGCGCCAUAAAAAAUCAUUAAAAAGGUUUACGUUUAACAAGACUAGAAGAAUAAAUUUAGGCAGCAGAAAUGGGAAAAACAAGUUAUUACAAAUCAGACCAGUGAAGAUGAACUCAGCUUAAUUGUUUGGAGGGGAAAAUACAGUGAGUCACCCUUUAAAAUUUCAAGCGUUCCCAACACAACCUCUGACAAGACUGUAAAUUACUUUAAAGAUUCAGAAAGGGACUGUAGGCUCUCUGAUUCAGAUGACCUACCUACAAAUAACUUUUUUGACUGUUGAACAUCAUUCACAUUAUUACCCGGGUUUUGAUUUUUGAAUAAAUGUGUCAACAUCAAACUUCCUUGAAGCUUUUUAUUACCUGCUGUUUAGAAUAUUUGCAUACUAGCAACAGAAAUCAUUACUAUGUGUGUAACAAAAGAUUUCUGUGCUCAUCCUUCUGCCUUACCCACCACGCUGCUUUCCUCUCUUGCCCUUUUCCCAUCCUAUUGAGGGAGAUGAGAAACUGAAGAGUGCAAAGAUGUGUAAAGAUAUAUCUUCUCCAGACUUUCUAAUCGACUGGAAAUGCACACAACAUGCUU